rnacentral:rRNA from 1 species
UAACGGGAAGGGGGCUAUGCGUUGGACUUCGGAAUUGACUGGGACGUAAGCGCACGUAGGCGGCUUCUUAAGUCGGUGGUGAAAUCCUGGAGCUCAACUCCAGAACUGCCUUCGAUACUGGGAGCUCGAGUCCGGGAGAGGUGAGUGGAACUGCGAGUGUAGAGGUGAAAUUCGUAGAUAUUCGCAAGAACACCAGUGGCGAAGGCGGCUCACUGGCCCGGUACUGACGCUGAGGUGCGAAAGCGUGGGGAGCAAACAGG